GGGCGAACGACCUGUGUCC
rnacentral:siRNA from 1 species